UUAGUUGAAACCAAAAAGAGGUGUAUCACUGUUAAUGAUAUCAAUGAAAAUUUAUUCCAACUAAA
rnacentral:tRNA from 1 species